UACGAAGGGGGCUAGCGUUGUUCGGAAUUACUGGGCGUAAAGGGCGCGUAGGCUGUGCUGUAAGUCAGGCGUGAAAGCCCCGGGCUCAACCUGGGAAUUGCGCUUGAUACUGCGGCGCUGGAAGGUGGGAGAGGAUGGCGGAAUUCCCAGUGUAGAGGUGAAAUUCGUAGAUAUUGGGAAGAACACCGAUGGCGAAGGCAGCCAUCUGGACCGACACUGACGCUGAGGCGCGAAAGCGUGGGGAGCAAGCAGG
rnacentral:rRNA from 1 species